rnacentral:rRNA from 1 species
GACGAACGCUGGCGGCGUGCUUAACACAUGCAAGUCGGGCGGUAAGGCCCUUUCGGGGGUACGACGAGCGGCGAACGGGUGAGUAACACGUGGGUGACCUGCCCUCAGCUCUGGGAUAAGCCCGGGAAACUGGGUCUAAUACCGGAUAUGACUUCAUGACGCAUGCUGUGGAGUGGAAAGCCUUGUGCGGCUGAGGAUGGGCCCGCGGCCUAUCAGCUUGUUGGUGGGGUGAGGCCUACCAAGGCGACGACGGGUAGCCGGCCUGAGAGGGCGACCGGCCACACUGGGACUGAGAUACGGCCCAGACUCCUACGGGAGGCAGCAGUGGGGAAUCUUGCGGCAAUGGGCGAAAGCCUGACGCAGCGACGCCGCGUGAGGGAUGACGGGCCUC